GGGAAUCUUGCGCAAUGCGCGAAAGCGUGACGCAGCAACGCCGCGUGGGGGAAGACGGCCUUCGGGUUGUAAACCCCUUUCAGGAGGGACGAAGGUCACACGGUUAAUAGCCGGCGUGACUGACGGUACCUCCAGAAGAAGCCCCGGCUAACUACGUGCCAGCAGCCGCGGUAAUACGUAGGGGGCAAGCGUUGUCCGGAAUUAUUGGGCGUAAAGAGCGCGUAGGCGGUCCGAUUAGUCGGCUGUGAAAGUCAAGGGCUCAACCCUUGAAAGCCGGCCGAUACUGUCGGACUAGAGUCCGGAAGAGGCGAGUGGAAUUCCCGGUGUAGCGGUGAAAUGCGCAGAUAUCGGGAGGAACACCAAUGGCGAAGGCAGCUCGCUGGGACGGUACUGACGCUGAGGCGCGAAAGCGUGGGGAGCAAACAG
rnacentral:rRNA from 1 species